GACGAACCGGGCAAACGUUAUUCGGAAUCACUGGGCUUAAAGGGUGCGUAGGCGGUCCUGAAAGUUGGGUGUGAAAUCCCUCGGCUUAACCGAGGAAUUGCGCCCAAAACUACAGGGCUAGAGGAAGACAGGGGUAAGCGGAACUGAUGGUGGAGCGGUGAAAUGCGUUGAUAUCAUCAGGAACACCAGUGGCGAAGGCGGCUUACUGGGUCUUUUCUGACGCUGAGGCAAGAAAGCUAGGGGAGCAAACGGG
rnacentral:rRNA from 1 species